rnacentral:rRNA from 1 species
GGGCUUCGGGAGCUAACGCGUUAAGUGGACCGCUGGGGAGUACGCCCGCAAGGUUAAAACUCAAAUGAAUUGACGGGGGCCCGCACAAGCGGUGGAGCAUGUGGUUUAUUUGGAUGCAACGGGAAGAACUUUACUUACUUUUGACAUCCAGAGAACUUUGCAGAGAUGCGGAGGUCCCUUCGGGAACUUUGAGACAGGUGCUGCAUGGCUGUCGUCAGCUGGUGUUGUGAAAUGUUGGGUUAAGUCCCGCAACGAGCGCAACCCUUAUCCUUUGUUGCCACCGGUUCGGCCGGGAACUCAAAGGAGACUGCCAGUGAUAAACUGGAGGAAGGUGGGGAUGACGUCAAGUCAUCAUGGCCCUUACGAGUAGGGCUACACACGUGCUACAAUGGCAUAUACAAAGAGAAGCGACCUCGCGAGAGCAAGCGGAACUCAUAAAGUAUGUCGUAGUCCGGAUUGGAGUCUGCAACUCGACUCCAUGAAGUCGGAAUCGCUAGUAAUCGUGGAUCAGAAUGCCACGGUGAAUACGUUCCCGGGCCUUGUACACACCGCCCGUCACACCAUGGGAGUGGGUGCAAAAGAA